CACAACUCUUAUGAAUGUUUAUAAUUUUGUUUCCUGAUUAGAGACUUCCCAUGAUACUCUGAACUCAACAAUUCACAGGAAGCCCAAGAAUAAAUUAUCAAAAAAUCAUUAACAAAAAUCUUUAUUUAAUAAUUGUGUUGGUGAUCUUUUCUUGCUGGUAUAGAAAAUAUUUUUUAGAAGAUGCCUCAGUGUUUAGGAACAAGGAGACUUCUAGCAACUUUUUGGCCAUGAGUUGGAUACAACACAAGGUUACAAGAGAUCCAGAAGCCUGAUCAAGAUUCACGUGGAGGAAAAUAGACCCCAUCUUUCAAUGAGACUUCAGAGCACAGUACUCUCCACAAGGAUACCAAUGUCUACAAGGGUGCCACUGGCCCAGCACGGAAGUCACCAGGUCCAGCCUAUACUUAAGAGGAAGGCAUUAUACAAGGAGUGAAUGCCAGGAGGCAAGAUUAUUGGGAGGCACAUCAGAAGCUGCCUGCGAAAACAGGGGUAUAUAGAAGCCCAAAUGAAACAGCUUUUAAUUCCAAAUGCAAAAUAGACAACAUGGAAAUAUAAGAUAGCACAUUGAAAAGACCCAAGAGUCAAAGGAGGAAAUCUGUAUCCAGAGGUGUUCCAUGAAAUUGGAUGCUGAGAGAUAAGAAAAGGAAAAAAAAUGGAGAGUGAAGAAAGCAACAUUUUGAGAGCUGAGCAGGUUUUUUUUUUUUUUUUAUCAGAAAUAAUGUUUAUUGGACUCCCCUCCAUAAAAAAAAAUUGCUUAUGGAAAUAAGAUUAGUAUCUUUUCCCUUUGGUUCCCAGAACACCUAAAAAAGGAGAUGAGAGGGAAACAGGGGAGGAAGGAGAGAAAGAAGGACUUGGUGAGAACUGGGGAAAUCUUCAAGAAAGUUGGGGGGCAGGUCCAUGCUUUUGCUUCUCUGCUCUCCCUUCCAAUUCUAUAAUUGGCACAAGAAAGGAUUCCAGCCCUACUUUGGCUUAUCUCUCAUAUUCUUAAAUCCAUGCCUGUUCCUCAAGUAUUUAGUUAGGGAGGAAAGCUGUGAGCUGGUAAAGUCUGCUCCCCCACCACCUCUGGAAUUUUCCCCACGGAAAUAGGACACAAUAAAGUCAGACAAUGCGAGCAUUCACACCAGGGCAGCCAGGGAUGCCUUUGUUCUGGUGAACCAGAAUGAAGCUUAACUAAAUAUGCUGUGAAGCAACUUAAGCAAAGUGGAAAGAGAAAAUGAUUUUCCACUUCUAGAUAUAGCAAAAUACAUUAGCAAUAGCGCUUGGAUCUAAGCAGAUCCGAUGAGUUACAAAUGAUCAUUUUCAUUAUGGCCUAAUGAGAUCACGGUUGAAGUAAGUUAAUAAGGAUUAAAGUUAAUGAAAAAGGGUGCCUAUAUAGUUUGUUUUCUUUAAAGUUGUGUCUUUUUUUAGCCCCACUUUAUUGACGCAUGACUGACAUACAAAAAGCUGUACAUAUUUAAUGCAUACCACUCAGUGAAUUUAGGAGUCAAAUUGUGUCUUCUUGGGGUUAUACGGUAAUUAGAUUGCUUAAACAUUUUAAACAUUCAGAAAUGCUACCUGGAUCACUUAAAAGGCAGUGCGUGAUGAUACUAAGUGUCUAAAUUUAGCUGUUUUGAUAACAGCUCUCUUUGAUUAAAAGAAGGAGUUUAAAAGACACUACCUAGGAGUACUCUGGGACAGAAAUGAUGAUAGCGAGAUUGAAACAGUGGUUGUGGGAUGAAGGAGAGGGAGGCACACAGAAGAGGUGGUCCAGAGGUACAAUCAAAUAGGACUGGGAGAGCAAGCAUAUCAGGUGGGGAGCAUGAAAGGAGAAUCAAAAGAGGGCUCCCAGGUCCCUAGGUUAGAUGGCCAGGUUUGGCAUGCGGCUUCAGUCACUGAGCUGGCAGAUGAAAGAGGGGCAGUGCCACCACGCAGCCAGUCAACACACUCUGACCAAGUGACUGCAGAGGGCUGUGUGUUCUCCAGAUUGC